rnacentral:lncRNA from 1 species
AAUCACACCAUUUACCAUUAGACCUCAUUGGUAUUCACAGGAACAUUUAUAAAGGCUCCCAACAUUAGAGUCUAAAAUUGCUCUCUGCCCACCUUGGAGUGCUCAUCUGGUGUUGCUGCGUCAGGACUGGCUGCUACAGCACAACUCCUGUCACUGCAGACACGGGAGCUCAUUUUAAACAGGUCAUUUUUAAUGCAUCAGAAUGCCAACCACACACAGCCACUGAACAGUGAUGCGCUGCUUUGCAUUUAGAAUUUACAGGGCAGUGAAACAGAAAAGAGUUCUUUCAGCUGGGACGAAGCACUGGUUUUUUGUGAGGAGACUGCCUCACCUCCAGGGCAGGUCACAGACCCCGAAAGAAAACACUGCAGAUCUGCCAAACCUGCUCCAGCCAAUGAAACAUUUCUUUAACAGCACUGCUCAGUUAGGGAGCCAACCUAAAAGUGGCAGAAUGGUCAAGUGCCACCCUCCUAGUGUUCAAAGUGCAACAUGUCCACACAGUGCAUUUAAAUUUGCUGUGAAAGCCAUGGGGAGCUCAGGGACAGGAGCAGAGUUUACACCAGAAACUGUGUUUAGUGUAACAGGAGCCUGACAGGAGCUGUGGAAGAGGAUGGACCUAAAUCCAGUGGGUUACAGACAUGGUUUUGUCCUCAGGUGUCACGUUUUGCUAUGGCACAGAGGCAUCCUAAGCACUGAGCUCAUUGUUAGACAUAAAUGUGUAAUACUGGAAUAGAAAGAUACAUAAAAGUUUCACUGCACCACAUUUUAUCCACAGCUUUAAAAAAGUACCCAAAUUUACUUGAAGAAAGAGCUGGCAGCCCCAUCACAUUAUAUUUAAAAGCAUUGUCUUCCUUCAUUUAAGGGAGAAAAUAAAAACAAGAAAAAGAAAUGAAAACUUUCUUUA